UAUUAUGAGAGUUUGAUCCUGGCUCAGGACGAACGCUGGCGGCGUGCCUAAUACAUGCAAGUCGAACGCUUCUUUCCUCCCGAGUGCUUGCACUCAAUUGGAAAGAGGAGUGGCGGACGGGUGAGUAACACGUGGGUAACCUACCCAUCAGAGGGGGAUAACACUUGGAAACAGGUGCUAAUACCGCAUAACAGUUUAUGCCGCAUGGCAUAAGAGUGAAAGGCGCUUU
rnacentral:rRNA from 1 species